rnacentral:rRNA from 1 species
UACAGAGGGUGCGAGCGUUAAUCGGAAUUACUGGGCGUAAAGCGCGCGUAGGCGGCUUUGCAAGUCGGGUGUGAAAUCCCCAGGCUUAACCUGGGAACUGCAUUCGAGACUGCAUUGCUAGAGUAUGGGAGAGGGAAGUGGAAUUUCCGGUGUAGCGGUGAAAUGCGUAGAGAUCGGGAAGAACACCAGUGGCGAAGGCGGUCUGCUGGGCCGUUGCUGACGCUGAGGCGCGACAGCGUGGGGAGCAAACAGG